UAGGGAAUCUUCCACAAUGGGCGCAAGCCUGAUGGAGCAACACCGCGUGAGUGAAGAAGGGUUUCGGCUCGUAAAGCACUGUUGUAUGGGAAGAACAGCUAGAAUAGGAAAUGAUUUUAGUUUGACGGUACCAUACCAGAAAGGGACGGCUAAAUACGUGCCAG
rnacentral:rRNA from 1 species